rnacentral:snoRNA from 12 species
UGCCUUUGUGUUGCCCAUUCUUUUUUGGAAACUUGCGAAUGUGGUGUCAAAAAAAGCAGAAUCUAAACACUUUGCAGCCUUUUCCUGUCCUUGAAUUUUUGGUGUAGGAGCUGUAUAAGUAACAGUU